AACUUAGCAGAACAGUCUUAUUUCAGAAGUCGAGGUCUGAGGACGUGCAGUCGCCGUUAAAAUCUGUAAAUUCGAAUUAAAAAUCUUCGUUGCAACUGCAAUUGGCUAUCAAUUGAUGCGAGUACGAUUUUUGUUUUGCGACAAAUAAUAUUAUACAAUUAAGUGCACAACGCGUGUGUUUACACUGAGUGUUAGUGAGUUUUUUUUUCUACAUUUUUUUUUGUUUAUUAAUUUCGGUCGUUCCUCUUCUGCCGAAAGGCAGCGCCGGUGACGGCACAAAGCAGCCGCGCCAAUAGCAACAAGUGUAAAGUCAAAUAACAGACGAAAGCGAAUGCAAGUAAACAAGUACAAAGCAAAGCCAAACCAAAAACUGUGAGGCGCUUGCAGAUGUGUUCUAAGCAGUAACAAACACACACACACACACACACACAAGCACAACUGCAAUUAACGAUUAACAAAAAGAAAGCAACUGAAGCAACAACAAUACGCAGAAACAACAAUUGUUGCCUAUUUGACCGAAAGAAUAAGAACAAACGGCCGCAGCAGCAGUAACAGCAGCUGUCAUAUUGAAAAGCAAAACAGCAAAACGGCAAAACGGCAAAAACAAAAGUGCAGUGACUUCACCUUCAUAAAACACACAUAACAAAAAACAAAAAAUAACAAAAAAAAAAAAUAACAAAACAUAAGAAAGAAAAUAAGCAGACUACAAUUAUCAGCGUGAUCGCAAGAGAGACAGUAAUAGACAGCGUGAGCAGAGAAGCAGAGGAGCAGAAAGAAAAGGUAAGCAUAAGCCAUAAAGCAUUAGGCAAGCAAUUAUGGAAGUUUUUGGCCAGCAGAGGAUAGCUCUGGCGGGUGGUCAAUAAUACUUAGCCCUCCUCUUCUGUGUAUCUGUGA